GAGAAAUAUCUCGCUGCUCUCCUCAGCCUGUUGCGCUCUCCGCAGACUUCACACGUUUCUCAGCAAAAAUGGAGCGCUUCUGCCUCCUUUCUCUCCUCAUCUGCACGCUCUUUUCCUCUACCUUUGCGGCCACCGUAUCCCCCGAUGAGGUCGAGGAUCCUUUGAUUCGCCAAGUCGUGCCGGAAGCCGUGGAUCACCUCCUUAACGCCGAGCACCAUUUCACUACUUUCAAGUCUAAAUUUGGGAAGAACUAUGCCACGCAGGAAGAGCACGACCACCGAUUCAAAGUGUUCAAGGCUAAUCUCCGACGGGCGAGGAAGCACCAGAUGAUGGACCCUUCCGCAGUUCAUGGAGUCACGAAGUUCUCAGACCUGACACCACGUGAGUUCCGCCGUCAGUACCUUGGCUUGAAGCGGCUCCGGUUGCCGGCCGAUGCUCACGAGGCGCCGAUACUUCCGACUAACGAUCUUCCUUCAGAUUUUGACUGGCGUGAUAAGGGUGCCGUCACAAACGUCAAGGACCAGGGGGCGUGUGGAUCGUGCUGGUCAUUUAGUGCCACCGGGGCUCUGGAAGGAGCUCACUUCUUAUCAACGGGCGAGCUGCUGAGCUUGAGUGAGCAGCAGCUUGUGGAUUGUGACCAUGAGUGCGAUCCAGAAGAAUAUGGUGCCUGUGAUUCAGGCUGCAAUGGAGGGUUGAUGACUUCUGCUUUUGAGUACACCCUCAAGGCUGGGGGACUGGAGCGCGAGGAGGAUUAUCCUUACACUGGGACUGAUCGUGGACCGUGCAAGUUUGACAGAAGCAAAAUUGCUGCAUCUGUAUCUAACUUCAGUGUUAUUUCUAUUGAUGAAGAACAAAUUGCUGCAAAUUUGGUGAAGAACGGUCCACUUGCAGUGGGGAUCAACGCAAUGUUUAUGCAGACAUAUAUUGGAGGAGUUUCUUGCCCAUACAUUUGCUCAAAGAGUCAGGAUCAUGGGGUGCUUCUUGUGGGGUAUGGAGCUGCAGGUUAUGCUCCUAUCCGGUUUAAGGAUAAGCCCUUCUGGAUUAUCAAGAAUUCAUGGGGUGAAAAUUGGGGAGAGAAUGGCUAUUACAAGAUCUGCAGGGGUCGCAAUAUUUGUGGAAUGGACGCCAUGGUCUCUUCUGUUGCUGCUAUUCAUACCGCUCGUCAGUAAAUUAUUGCAAUUUAGCAGCAGAUAUUGUGUAUAUAACUAAAGAGUGAUGCAUAUUGUUAUAAAUUAUAAAAUAUGUGGGCUCCAAAGAACUUACUCUGGCAGGAACUGUUACUAUGUGGUUGCUAUUUGUAAUUUUCUUAUCGCGACGUUCUAUUCAAGCGUUGUAUAUGCUUAUUGCUACCAAUAACUAUUAGUCCUAAUUAAGAUUAAGAUGCUUAUAUAAUUUGUUUCUAUAUGAUAAUGUCGUAAGUCUUUUCUUCUAAAA
rnacentral:misc_RNA from 1 species